GGAGAGAUGGCCGAGAGGCUGAAGGCGCGCGCUUGGAAAGCGCGUAUACGGGAAACCGUAUCGCGGGUUCGAAUCCCGCUCUCUCCGCCA
rnacentral:tRNA from 1 species